CGCUCGCUCCUCUCGUUCCUUUUCCUUUCCUUGUUCUCUCCGCGCCAGACCUUUGCCCCCCGGGACGUGCACGCGGGCGCUGCGCGGUCUGUCUGUGCGGGGCCGGGGGACUGCAGCCGCCGCGUGAAGCACGGAGCCGUGCGGUGCUGUCCCGCUGCCAGGGCCGCAGCAUCGCCCUCCCGCUGUAUCCCAAGCUGUUACUUAUGAGACGAGUGCGUGCUUUCUGUAGCUUGACCACCCGAGGUACCCCAGUGCGUUUUCUCUGUGCACUUUUCCCUGAUGACCCCCCUCCCCCCGCCUGCACCGCAGGGAUACCGCUCACCCCGGCCCAUCUCCAGGCAGGCUCCAGCACAGCGCUGUGCUGCUGCAGGGGGUGGAGGAACAGGGGGUGGCUGCUGUUGCUUGCUGGAGCCCAGCAGAUGAUGCCAGCGCUCAGGCUGGUGCAGGUUAUCCACGUGCUGCUCUCAGGCAGGGCUGUGCUUAAUCCCACUGCUGUGUAGGUUGUGGGUGAACGGCUCUGCCGGCUCCUGAGGUGGGUGGUUGGUGCUCGUGGCACUGGGUUCCUCUGGCCAUGCCAUGCCAGAGCAUGCACCCCUGGGGAACUGCAGUCCCCGCUCAGGGCAUGGAGGCUGCCGGAAUGCAGUGUUCCUCAGGAAUGCACGGUGGCCGAUCGGGGUAGCUCAGGUGUGGCCACAGCACACUCUGUACAGCCUUAAUUUGAAUGCCUGAGAGGGCUGUGGGAAGGAAUGCGAGUGCCUCGUAGUGCUCUCUGCCAGAUAGCUCUAAUUGCUGGCUGCUGAUGACUCUGGCCUCAAUGAGUUACGCAGCUGAGUUUGGGUGAGUUCAGCUCCGCUCACUUCUCUGAAACUCUUGGCCAAGGUGAAAGCUGUUUCCCUUCAGAGGCAUUAGCUACAACAGCAAGAAAAUGUGAACUUGUCUGGGAUGGGAACCCUUCUGGAAACCCAUGCCCAGUGUGGGAGGUGGGCACCCAGCAGCUCCUCACAUUGAUGCCCUGAGGCCUGUUGGGUGCCAUGCAGCAGCCCUCAGAGGGACAGCAGCUGGUGCACUGGGAGCAGGGCUGGUGCUAGUGGCUUGCUUACAUGCUUUCCCUGGACCUGCAGCUGCCCAGCUCCUUGGCCGAGCUCUUUCUUCCUGCUGCAUUGUUUGCCCUAGGAAAGCGUAGCUGCUCCAGCUGCCUUCCUAUUCCUCUGCAAGGCUUCCUGUCAGGCUCCAGAGAUCAAGGUUGCUCUGUCGGGCCUGGCUCUGCAUGGCUUCCUUCCUCAAGGCACCGCUGCAGCAGCACCAUGCCGCCACAAGAUAAGGUUUAGCUGUGAGGUGGCUGUAACACUGAAGACGUUUAGCUGUUCUGUAGAUUACUUGUGCUAUAUUGCGUUUUACAAAAACAACUUCUAGCUGGGGCUUUAGAAAAUGAGGUGACUGUGGCUCUGAAUGAAGGGGUUUGCAGCCCAUCCAUGCAGUGUGGGUGGAGCAGGAGCCAGGUGGUAGGAUGGGCUCUGACUGUACAUAUGGCCCUGGAUAAACUGUGCCGCUCCUGAAAAAACAUCCUGACCUGGCUUUCCAGAAAUGAUGUUCCAAACAAACCUCAUGGCAUUCUGCUCGAUGGGCUGAAGCCCACGCUGCCUCUUCUGCAAGCUGCAAAGUGCUGCUUGACUGUAGUGCUUCUCUCCCUGUGGCUGUGGGUUCUGUCGAACUUGGGACUUCAUCUUCAGUUUUCAGUCUCUUUUGUGCUGCUGAGCAAACAUGAGGCCAUGCUGGGGUCUGGAGCUAUGUACAAAUAAGGGCUUUUAGGUGGAGAACUUUUAUGACCAGGUUGGCCUUUGGGGCCUGGGGUGUUUAGGGCGAGCUCUGAGCCAAAUCAGCUGGGGAAUCCAGACGGCUGCAGCUGCUGGAUUUUUAGCAUUAAUAAUGCCAUCAAACCUCUGCUAAAUGGAUGCAGUGCAUGCUCCAGUUAUUAUUUAACUUCCAGGAACGCUUUAGAAGCCAUGCAGUAUGGGUUAGCUACUGCUGCUGUACUACAAUCCACACCUCUAAAAGCUUGCUACUGAAGAAGUUUGGCAUUCCAACUUUGUUUCAUUGAUCUGAUUAUAUUCAGAGUAAUCAAUCAAAGUUAUGUUUGAGCACGGUCUUUGAUUCAGUUUGGAGCAGGAGUUAGCCUCAGCCUCCCUGGCCUCUUGUUUAGCUGAGUCCACAGGCAGUUCCAGGAUGCUUCUCCUUAAAGCAGAAGGUGCCCUCCAUACAGUGCAGGUUUGUGACUUGUCUGUGUGCUCUGAGGUAAAAACAGCUGUAAAGCACCACUGUACAUUGUGCCAUCCAGCAAAGAUGGGAUGGAAAGCCUUGAGCUUGUUGGGGCAGGUAAUUUGAAUGUGAGGAGUCUUCAGCUCAGUGCCUGGUAGCACUGAAGUGUUAACAAGUGCUAAGUCUGGCUUUUUUUUUUCUCUGCCAGACUGAGGAUAAUUGCAGAUUCCUGGGUGCUGAGUGGUGUGCAGCGUGACAGGCGCGCUGUGGAGUAGGACGCCAGGAAUGCAGAGCACAAGGGCUUUGCUCUUGGCCUAAGGAGCUGAUCGGCUCUGGAGAUUACUUUGUAUGGGAGCCACAUCGUGCCUUGGUAGAAGCCACAGAAAAUUGCUGGGAGGAGGCUGAGGUUAAGUUUGGCACCAAGCUUGCUCCCAGAAACCCUAUUAUCAGGUGGUAGGAGUCAACUGAUUUUAGCUUAGGAGCAGAGGGUUUCAAGGUCUGGAGCCUGGCAGGCAGUUUCUAUCACCUGCCCUGCUCACACCCAGUGCUUGCCUGCAGCCCAGCAUCUCCUGCAGCAGCAGGGUGGGUGCUGAGCAGCUGGCGUUUGUGUGUUUUUUUUUUUUUUCUGGUACAAUGUGGAGGUGGUAAUCCUAGACUGCAGCACUCUGAUUGAUCAAACCGAAAAACAUGUGGUUUCUCUUCGCUGGGUUGUGCUUUCAUCAGAUAAGUGAGCUGAUCUGACUUGCCUUCCAACUGCAGGAUGCUGGACAGUAAUAUGAGAAAAUAGGUGGGGAGAGGUGGCGGGGGCUGUGUGGCAGCGCUGCUGCCUGCUCCUGUGUCACCGGGAUCUGGCGUUGGCGGCAGUUUAGCACUUGGCUUUCAUGUUUGCCUUUGGUUGUUGAUGCACUACAGGAUGACAAGGCCAGCUGUGAAUUCCUAAAUUUCUUCUAAAACUUGCAGAAUGUAUUAUCCUAUAAUACUUAGAGCUAGAUGCUUGACAGCUGAAAAAAGGAAAAUGUAUUUUCAGCCUGUAUACACUUCGGGUCUCUCUCUGUCUCACUCCGGGUGCUAUUAACACAUCAUAAGAAGGUAGUCAAAACACGCUUGCAUUUUGUCUGCCACUUACCUGUGACUUCCCUGGAGGCUGUUUUCUGGAAAACAUCCAGUGUUUCUUGGAAGCAGAUUUCUGCUUCUUGGAAACGUGACACUUAAUCCUUCCCCUCUAAAAUUAUUUUCGAUAGACUGACAGUGGGCCUCACUGCUAGAAUGGCUCUGCUUUCUAAGAGCCACUUGUUUGGGCUCCUCAGGACCAUGUGUUUCAACAGUUUGACUGUUGGUCUAAAGAGUAUAAAAUCAUACAAUACCCUGAGUUGGAAGGGACCCGUAAGAGUCCAACGCCUGGCUCCAUGCAGGAAUAAGUGGCUUUACAUGAGUCAUUUGCUUCAAGUUAGUGUAAGGUAGCUUAUGUGGACUGUUCUGUGUGUCUGUUUGAUGUGUUCUUCUACAUCUGAGAGUAAACUUGUAAAGUGAUCAAACUCUUCUGUAAAGUAGUUUGGGACUGAUUAGGCUAAUGUGCAAACACCUUUUUUGUUUAAGGCACUGGAAAACUAUACCCUCCAUUCAAGAAGGACCGAAGUCUUGACUGCUCUGUAUUCUAAUGCUAUGCUCUGUAUUGGCUUACAUGGGGAUGUUUAAAUCUAAGUGGGGCAGGAUAACUAUUUUCCUAGCCUACUGUGUAAUCUAAGAAUGUGGUUAACCUUGUGUGUGGCCAUGCUUCUGAAUUCCCAGUAUUGUUCUGCCUGCUCCUUGUAAUGCAGAGUAAAACAGUGAAUCCCUCAAGCUUUGGAGGAAUUCUGUUUCCUCUUUGCUCCUUGGAAAUAGACUCUGUGGGACCUGAACAAGGGCCUGCAGGGUUUAGGCCAGAAAUAGAUGCUAAGCAAAGACAUCAAAGAAAGACAGCAUGUUGCAGGUGAUGCUGGUGUGACCAGAUCUCUACUGUACUGUAAUGCUCUCCCAGGUCUGCCACCAGGAUCAGGUGUACCUGUGCAUGGACCUGUCAUCCUUCACUGCCUGAUGUGGUACACAGCUCACAAACAUGGUACUGGGCCUGUAACUCACUACAGUAAUGAAAGGAGAAUGCAAAGCUCAGAGACAUGGGGUUUGGAUCUGUUUGGGCUUGGUACCAGUGUGCAUGAAGAGCCUGGCCCACCAGUUGUUGCUUGUCAAGCAUCAAACCUGACUUGGCUCUUGAAGCGGCAUCCAGGCUUUCUGUAGAGAAACCUUUAGGCUCCUGUGAGAUUUUCUUGCUUUUAGUGUGUGUCCCCAGUAGUGCUGUGGUUCUGUUCCAGGGCAGCUGCCUGUGGAAGCAGUUGUCCUCUCUGGACAGACGCACCAAGGCAGUGAUGGAGGCACAUGGCAGGUAAGAGCAGGCGAGACUUGUUGCUGCAGUCUGCUUGGACUUGGCAAGAAAAGCAGAAUAAGAUGUUCCAAAAGCAUCUGUGCUGGAGGAAGGAAACACUGUGUAGUGAGUGUUAACUGUCGGGGGGGAAAGAAUCCCAAACAAAAUCUGUUUUUUUUUUUAAAAAAAAAAAAAAGCAAAGGGAAGGCACUACCUGUCCCUGUAAGGACAUCUGUGUAGUCUUUAUUACAGGCUUCAUAGUUUUGUCCUACUCACAUGGCUCAGUUUACUGCAGGCUGAAUUCAUGCUAACGGUAGAGAGGAACAAAUGCAUACCCUCUCUCAUGGUGUUUUGGGAAAUGAGUAGCAGUUUUCGUGAGAAAAGCACAUGUGAAGCCUGCACUAGAUGCUCUUUUUUAUAUUUUUCUUCUCGCUUGCUGCUCUUGUGGUAGCAGUGGUAAGGACCCAACCCUGUAACGGUUGCCUGGGUGGGGUGCAUUGGGGUGAGCUGCUCUUGCUCCUCCCAAGGCCUUGACUGUGGGUUCAGAGUUGAGUCAACUGAGGUCUGAGGUUAUCGCUUCAGUGGGCUGAGCAAGCUGUGCCUGUUCACACAGAUUAAUGCAAUGAAGCUCCAGAGAGAUUUCUUCCCAACACCUUGCUUUUGCUUGGUACGGAUUUUGUUCUUCUCUACCCACAAGGCAAAAAAAAAAAAAAAAAGCCUGUAGUUUACACUCCUACCUGUUUGCAUUUCUCCUGAGUACUCUGUAAUCUAAUUAAUCUAAUAGGGAAGAUGCUUCCUUCUGCAUUGUUAGGAGUGAAAUCCAGGAUCCUGUAGUUGAAGGCUCUGCAGUGAGUUUGUUUUAUCAUAACCAGAUGGUUCUCUGGACUAUAACACUGUCUCUGAGUUUUCUUCAGCUUUCUGUCAGUCUCUACAACUAACCUUGAGUGUCCACAUAACAUCUGGUACAUUAUAGUAAGGAAUGAAUCUGCUGCAGUGGGCUUAAUGGCUUGCAAUUCCUAAUGCAAAACACUGUUGUGCUGUAGUUGGAAGUUUAACAUCUGUAGUAUCAUGCUAGCAAAGUAGAAGCAAGCUAUUGCAUACAUAUUCCAGUGGUAAUACUCAUGACCCUUGCAAGAAUAGAAACAGCAAUUUUUUUUGUUAGGAAAAACAAGUGAGGCCACUUCAAACAGCAACCAGACACAGUCUUGCCCAAGUUCCUGGGGAAGCCUUGUGCUGACUAAUGCAGCAGCAGAUGUUCUCCUGCCCUGAAGCUGCCUGGGGGUGGGCAGGGGCUGGAGCAGCAGAAUCCAGUCCCUGCUGGUGUGGUGGAGUAGAGUGGCUUGGGCUUCCUGCUGGUGCUGCCCUCGGAACAAAGCAGCCAUAGCUCUCUAGCAAGCCAAACCCUCUGAGGAGAAUGAUCAUUUGUAACUGUACAGUCUUCUUGUUGAUGGGGUGCUUCCUCUGAGUUUGUUGGGUGAUGCUCCUCUACUGUUCCCUACAGCUUAGAGAAGCAGACAGCUCAUGUGGUGGGGAGGAUAUAUUCAAUGCUGAAGUCAAACUCUUACUUUGAAGCAUAAGUUAAUCUAAUAUAUCACUGGCCUGCAGAAAAUAACUCUGAAGUACAGCAGACUGUGGUGGCCAGCCUGUGAGUUGUUGGUGGUGUGGCUUUGAAUGCCCAGGCAGAGAUCACUCUUGCAAAGGGAUGAGCAGUUUCUCCUAACAGCAGUGAGAGGCUGCACAAGCUCCCCUGCCAGCACUACCAAAUAACAGCAUGAAAAUGGCUGCAGGCUGUGGUGACAUCCUGGGUUGCUCCUUCUGCCUUGCUCCAUGGCACUGGGCAAACCACGAUGUGUUUCUUAGUCAGAGCACUGGUGAGCUGGGCUGUGCUUCCAAGAUCUGGCACCUCUGAGGGCAAGGUGGGCAUGGACUGCCACCAAACCCAGCCUUCUGCUUUUGCCCCCAGAUGCAGCCUUCUGCUCUGCAGGAGGAGUGCAGCCCACAGCACCUGACACAGGGCGGUGGGAGCCAUGGAGCAGCUCCGAUGCUUAAUGCCAGUUUUAGUAAAACUCUUCUGGAACCAGAACUCUUCUACUCAGGCCUUCAGCUCAGGCAAACUGGGUCAAUGCAGGCACACGCAGUCUUCUGCAGCAAGCCUGGGUGUGGUGGAAGCAUUUUUGUGGCUGCAGAGCAGUAACUGAAAGCUGUGAGGCUGCCCUUCCUGCUGGCUCGUGGCUGGGCUGUUGCCAGCCGCCUCCUGCACUGAGGCCUGCAGGGCAGCUGCAUGGGCCUGCGCUUGGGGCAGCCGUGACCCGGUCUUGCCUGCGGCCCUGUUGGCCAGCUGAGCUGCUCCUGGCUGCCUGCUGGUCUUGAUUAGUCUACAGCCACCCUUGCAAGGAGACAAUACCCUGUAUGGCUAUAUGAAAGGGCACUGGCGUGGUUGGUGGGCCUGAAGCAUGCCGUAGGUGGCGGCCCGUGAAGUGCCGUGUAAAUAAACUUUGAAAUGUCUCCUUCUGGGCACAGCGCGCAGAGCUGUGGGAGCAGACCCGCACUCUGAGCAAACAUCCAUGAUAUGUGAAUCUGAAGGUUAUUCAAACACAGAAGAGGAAAUGCUGUUCCCCGUGGCUAGAUGCUAACACGCCCUAGCUAUCCUUCAUUUACUUGGUCUAAUUAAUUGCUUUACAUCCCCUUUUCUAACAAAAAUCUUGCAGCAGUCAGUGCAGCAUGAUUUUGAAGGACUUACCGGACCUGUCCUUGUAUAUCUGAGGGCCAAAGCCCUGACAUGUGCACCUUGGAACAUACCUUUUGUGCAGCCCUCCAUUCGUCACAAGGCAUGUGUGUUUGCUCCUGUGUGCAGCAGGUCCCUGGGCUCAGGCUGUGGGAGCAAAGUGCCCAAGCUGGAUCUGCCCCCUGGAGUCCUGCAUAUGGCUGUGAAUGAGGAACACUGGAUUGCUGAACAGUGUUGGUGCCAAACUGUCAUCUUGAUAGUACAAGAGUGUCUGAGUGUUACUUCGCUUUACAGCCAGACUGUAUAUUUUUGCAGGGUUUCCUUCUUUGCAAGGCUCUGUAACUGUGCUUAUCAGUUUCCCACAUAAUCCAUAGCCCCGGUACUUCAGAGUCUGCUCUAAAACACUGAAUUGGAUGAUCUUUGCAUUGAUCUGAGUUGUUCUGGAAACACAAAAAAGCAAGCUUCAGUGCAAGACCAAGAGCUAGGAGCAGGACUGCUGUUGGAUGUUCAACAUAUGUAAAACUGUAACUUGGAUGAGCCUGUUCCAACACCUGGAUGCUUCUGCAGUGCUGCUGCUUGUUGCAGUACUUGUUAGUCACAGUGGUUCUCUGUCACUCUCACAAAUACAGUUUGUUUUCAAAUUCCCCUGUGGGGGAAGUGCUGGUGUCUGAGCAGACCUAACGUACUGACUGUGGGAAGACUGGGAUGCUAUUCUCAUUGUUUCAGCUCUGUUCUGGGUGUUGAUUAACAGUGUGGCUGCAUGCAAAUGUAUGAUAGCUUAUGUAACUGCUUGAACAAAAUCAAUGAUCUAAUUAAAAGUCAAAUAGAAA